rnacentral:ncRNA from 1 species
UAAAAAGAGUUAAAAGUGUCUGAAAUUGCUGAAAGGGAAGCGAUUGAAACUUUUGUUUCUCCAGGGUGCCGGUGGUUCUCAGUAUCCAUCUCUCUAAAUCUCCGCCUUAGGGUUUUGGAGUUUUGCUGUUACUGUUUGCCACUCUGAUCCCUGGGGCUUCGUCAGCACCAGUGGUCACCUGACUAUUCUCCCCAAGGAAGGUAGGUCCCUCGUGGGCUGUUAUAGCCUUGGGUUUGGUUCGUUCAGGUGUCUGCUGAGGUGUGUUUUCCGCGUUCGUCGGCUCCACCUUCGAGUACCGUCGUUCUGCGGUGCUGUCCCUAGAGGUUUCAACCGACCCGUCUUGAAACACGGACCAAGGAGUCUAACAUAUGUGCGAGUAUGCGGGCGGCAAC